UACGGGGGGAGCAAGCGUUGUUCGGAUUUACUGGGCGUAAAGGGCGCGUAGGCGGCCAGCGCAAGUCAGUUGUGAAAUCUCCGGGCUUAACUCGGAACGGUCAACUGAUACUGCGCGGCUAGAGUGCAGAAGGGGCAACUGGAAUUCUCGGUGUAGCGGUGAAAUGCGUAGAUAUCGAGAGGAACACCUGCGGCGAAGGCGGGUAGCUGGGCCGACACUGACGCUGAGGCGCGAAAGCCAGGGGAGCGAACGGG
rnacentral:rRNA from 1 species